AGCUCCAGACUGACAAAAUGUGGUUGAAGAGCUGAAGAACCUACAAAGCCAUCUCCAAAAGACUUCUCACACAGGAAGAGUGAAACCACAUGCACACACUAGAGGCCAUAUACAACAAGACUGUAUGUUGUAAGUCACCUAACAAUAAAUAACAGCUGCAUUACGAGACGGACAGCUUGUAUGGACCACAGAAUCUGGACACAAGUUCAUAUGAGGAAUGUUACAGGGGACGUUGACUGGAAACCACUGGAAACUAAGAUCAAAAUUCUAAAGUCAUCCUACUGGAGUGCUUGAUCAAACUUGAUUCAGAAUGAUCACAACUCGCUGAAAACAACCCAAAUCCUGAGAGUUCCAGGGAAAGAGGGCUGAACAGAGUAAAUCAGAGACUUCUGCUAUUGGCCGUGU